rnacentral:rRNA from 2 species
UGGUUUAAUUCGACGCAACGCGAAGAACCUUUACCAGGGCUUUGACAUGCCGCUGACCGGUUUAGAGAUAGAUCUUUUACCCCUUCGGGGUACAGCGGACACAGGUGGUGCAUGGUUGUCGUCAGCUCGUGUCGUUGAGAUGUUGGGUUAAGUCCCGCAACGAGCACAACCCUUGUCUUUAGUUGCCAUCAUUAAGUUGGGCACUCUAAAGAGACUGCCGAUGACAAAUCGGAGGAAGGUGGGGAUGACGUCAAAUCAUCAUGCCCUUUAUGUCCUGGGCUACACACGUGCUACAAUGGUCGGUACAACGAGAAGCAAGCCAGCGAUGGCAAGCAAAUCUCUAAAAGCCGAUCCCAGUUCGGAUUGCAGGCUGCAACUCGCCUGCAUGAAGUCGGAGUUGCUAGUAAUCGCGGAUCAGAAUGCCGCGGUCGAAUACGUUCCCGGGCCUU